GGGGGGUUUGUGAAAGGUUUGUGAAUGCGGAUGAAUUAAAUCAAAAGGCGGAUGCAAACAGAAAUUUAAAACUGAAAUGCAGACAGAAACAUAAAAACGGAAUCAAAUACAAAANAAAAANGGUCGGUCAUUAACUCAAUUACAAUGCUUCCAAUCACAGAUUACCAACAAGUACACACUACUCUAAUGCAAAUCCGACACGAAUCACCCAACUAAGUGAAGGCUAAUUCGGUCUUCAAAAUUACAGACUAAGCGAAUGCAAUACAUAAAUUUAAUCAGUCAUCCACCAUACANUCUAAUCAACUAAGCGAAGAUUAAACACNNNUUAGUCAACUAAGCGUAUACCUAAUCGCAGGCAAACAACAAAUUAAAUAUUGAGCCGAAUCAGAGCAGCAAUAUGACAAUUAAAGUGCUAAAAUCUCAANGAAACAAUGUAAUAUCACUAAUGA
rnacentral:lncRNA from 1 species